AGACAGCAGUAGCCGCGGUAAUACGGAGGGUGCAAGCGUUAAUCGGAAUUACUGGGCGUAAAGCGCACGCAGGCGGUCUGACAAGUCAGAUGUGAAAUCCCCGGGCUUAACCUGGGAACUGCAUUUGAAACUGUCAGGCUGGAGUCUUGUAGAGGGGGGUAGAAUUCCAGGUGUAGCGGUGAAAUGCGUAGAGAUCUGGAGGAAUACCGGUGGCGAAGGCGGCCCCCUGGACAAAGACUGACGCUCAGGUGCGAAAGCGUGGGGAGCAAACAGGAUUAGAUACCCGGGUAGUCCCUGUCUCUUAUAC
rnacentral:rRNA from 1 species